rnacentral:rRNA from 1 species
AACGAACGCUGGCGGCAUGCCUAACACAUGCAAGUCGAACGAGACCUUCGGGUCUAGUGGCGCACGGGUGCGUAACGCGUGGGAACCUGCCCUUAGGUUCGGAAUAACUCCCCGAAAGGGGUGCUAAUACCGGAUAAUGUCUUCGGACCAAAGAUUUAUCGCCUUUGGAUGGGCCCGCGUGGGAUUAGCUAGUUGGUAGGGUAAAAGCCUACCAAGGCGACGAUCCAUAGCUGGUCUGAGAGGAUGAUCAGCCACACUGGGACUGAGACACGGCCCAGACUCUUACGGGAGGCAGCAGUGGGGAAUAUUGGAAAAUGGGCGAAAGCAUGAACCAGCAAGGACGCGUGAGUGAUGAAGGCCUUAGGGUUGUAAAGCUCUUUUACCCGGGAUGAUAAUGACAGUACCGGGAGAAUAAGCACCGGCUAACUCCGUG